rnacentral:misc_RNA from 1 species
UUGCAGCCCGACUUGAGUGGAGCUCCUUUUGUCUGGCGCCAGCCAGAUAAAAGAGCGGGAACGGAAGGCGGAUAAAGC